UACAGAGGUCUCAAGCGUUGUUCGGAUUCAUUGGGCGUAAAGGGUGCGUAGGUGGCGAGGCAAGUCGGAUGUGAAAUCCCGGGGCUCAACCCCGGAACUGCAUUCGAUACUGCCCUGCUCGAGUACUGGAGAGGAGAUCGGAAUUUACGGUGUAGCAGUGAAAUGCGUAGAUAUCGUAAGGAAGACCAGUGGCGAAGGCGGAUCUCUGGACAGUUACUGACACUGAGGCACGAAGGCCAGGGGAGCAAACGGGAUUAGAAACCCCCGUAGUCC
rnacentral:rRNA from 1 species